AACGAACGCUGGCGGCAUGCCUAACACAUGCAAGUCGAACGAGACCCUCGGGGCUAGUGGCGCACGGGUGCGUAACGCGUGGGAACCUGCCCUUAGGUUCGGAAUAACUCCCCGAAAGGGGUGCUAAUACCGGAUAAUGUCUUCGGACCAAAGAUUUAUCGCCUUUGGAUGGGCCCGCGUUGGAUUAGCUAGUUGGUAGGGUAAAAGCCUACCAAGGCGACGAUCCAUAGCUGGUCUGAGAGGAUGAUCAGCCACACUGGGACUGAGACACGGCCCAGACUCCUACGGGAGGCAGCAGUGGGGAAUAUUGGACAAUGGGCGAAAGCCUGAUCCAGCAAUGCCGCGUGAGUGAUGAAGGCCUUAGGGUUGUAAAGCUCUUUUACCCGGGAUGAUAAUGACAGUACCGGGAGAAUAAGCUCCGGCUAACUCCGUG
rnacentral:rRNA from 1 species